UAUCAACUUUCGAUGGUAGGAUAGAGGCCUACCAUGGUGGUAACGGGUAACGGGGUGUUAGGGCACGACACCGGAGAGGGAGCCUGAGAAACGGCUACCACAUCCAAGGAUGGCAGCAGGCGCGCAAAUUACCCAAUCCCGACACGGGGAGGUAGUGACAAUAAAUAACAAUACGGGGUUCUUUAGGAUCUCGUAAUUGGAAUGAGUACAAUUUAAAUCUCUUAACGAGGAACAAUUGGAGGGCAAGUCUGGUGCCAGCAGCCGCGGUAAUUCCAGCUCCAAUAGCGUAUAUUAAAGUUGUUGCAGUUAAAAAGCUCGUAGUUGAAUUUCGGGGUUAGUAGGUUGGUCAUGCCUCUGGUAUGUACUGGUCUCACUGAUUCCUCCUUCCUGAUGAACCGUAAUGCCAUUAAUUUGGUGGUGCGGGGAAUUUGGACUGUUACUUUGAAAAAAUUAGAGUGUUUAAAGCAAGCUAACGCUUGAAUACAUUAGCAUGGAAUAAUGAAAUAGGACGUUCGAUCCUAUUUUGUUGGUUUCUAGGAUUGACGUAAUGAUUAAUAGGGAUAGUUGGGGGCAUUAGUAUUCAAUUGUCAGAGGUGAAAUUCUUGGAUUUAUUGAAGACUAACUACUGCGAAAGCAUUUGCCAAGGAUGUUUUCAUUAAUCAAGAACGAAAGUUAGGGGAUCGAAGACGAUCAGAUACCGUCGUAGUCUUAACCAUAAACUAUGCCGACUAGGGAUCGGAUGAUGUUAAUUUUUUAAUGACUCAUUCGGCGCCUUACGGGAAACCAAAGUGUUUGGGUUC
rnacentral:rRNA from 1 species